rnacentral:rRNA from 1 species
UGAGGAAUAUUGGUCAAUGGUCGGAAGACUGAACCAGCCAUGCCGCGUGCAGGAAGAAUGCCUUAUGGGUUGUAAACUGCUUUUAUAUAGGGAGAAUAAGGAGUACGUGUACUCUGAUGACGGUACUAUAUGAAUAAGCAUCGGCUAACUCCGUGCCAGCAGCCGCGGUAAUACGGAGGAUGCGAGCGUUAUUCGGAAUCAUUGGGUUUAAAGGGUCUGUAGGCGGGCUAUUAAGUCAGGGGUGAAAUCUUACAGCUUAACUGUGAAAUUGCCUUUGAUACUGGUAGUCUUGAAUAUUUGUGAAGUUUUUGGAAUGUGUAGUGUAGCGGUGAAAUGCUUAGAUAUUACACAGAACACCGAUUGCGAAGGCAGGAGACUAACAAAUGAUUGACGCUGAGAGACGAGAGCGUGGGGAGCGAACA